CCUACGGGAGGCAGCAGUGGGGAAUAUUGGACAAUGGGCGAAAGCCUGAUCCAGCAAUGCCGCGUGAGUGAUGAAGGCCUUAGGGUUGUAAAGCUCUUUUACCCGGGAAGAUAAUGACUGUACCGGGAGAAUAAGCCCCGGCUAACUCCGUGCCAGCAGCCGCGGUAAUACGGAGGGGGCUAGCGUUAUUCGGAAUUACUGGGCGUAAAGCGCACGUAGGCGGCUGUUCAAGUCAGAGGUGAAAGCCCGGAGCUCAACUCCGGAACUGCCUUUGAAACUAGAUAGCUAGAAUCACGGAGAGGUAAGUGGAAUUCCGAGUGUAGAGGUGAAAUUCGUAGAUAUUCGGAAGAACACCAGUGGCGAAGGCGGCUUACUGGACGUGUAUUGACGCUGAGGUGCGAAAGCGUGGGGGGCAAACAGGAUUAGAUACCCUGGUAGUCCACGCCGUAAACGAUGAUAACUAGUUGUCGGGGCUCUUAGAGCUUCGGUGACGCAGCUAACGCAUUAAGUUAUCCGCCUGGGGAGUACGGUCGCAAGNUUAAAACUCAAAAGUAGUAUUACGGACGGCGAGAGACGCGACGACGACGACGACGGAGGAGAG
rnacentral:rRNA from 1 species